rnacentral:rRNA from 1 species
AUGCAAGUCGAGCGGAUGACGGGAGCUUGCUCCUUGAUUCAGCGGCGGACGGGUGAGUAAUGCCUAGGAAUCUGCCUGGUAGUGGGGGACAACGUUUCGAAAGGAACGCUAAUACCGCAUACGUCCUACGGGAGAAAGCAGGGGACCUUCGGGCCUUGCGCUAUCAGAUGAGCCUAGGUCGGAUUAGCUAGUUGGUGGGGUAAUGGCUCACCAAGGCGACGAUCCGUAACUGGUCUGAGAGGAUGAUCAGUCACACUGGAACUGAGACACGGUCCAGACUCCUACGGGAGGCAGCAGUGGGGAAUAUUGGACAAUGGGCGAAAGCCUGAUCCAGCCAUGCCGCGUGUGUGAAGAAGGUCUUCGGAUUGUAAAGCACUUUAAGUUGGGAGGAAGGGCAGUAAGCUAAUACCUUGCUGUUUUGACGUUACCGACAGAAUAAGCACCGGCUAACUCUGUG